rnacentral:rRNA from 1 species
AAUCAACGCUGGCGGCGUGCCUAACACAUGCAAGUCGAACGAGAAAGUGGGAGCAAUCCUGCGAGUACAGUGGCAGACGGGUGAGUAACACGUGAACAACCUACCCUUGAGUGGGGAAUAACACCGCGAAAGUGGUGCUAAUACCGCAUAACAUCUCUGGUUUGCAUGAACUGGAGAUCAAAAGCGCAAGUUGCUUGAGGAGGGGUUCGCGGCUGAUUAGCUAGUUGGUGAGGUAACGGCCCACCAAGGCAACGAUCAGUAGCCGGCCUGAGAGGGUGAACGGCCACACUGGAACUGAGACACGGUCCAGACUCCUACGGGAGGCAGCAGUGGGGAAUUUUGCGCAAUGGGCGAAAGCCUGACGCAGCAACGCCGCGUGGAGGAUGAAGGCCUUCGGGUCGUAAACUCCUGUCGAUGGGGACGAAAGCCUGAAAAGGUUUGACUGUACCCGUUGAGGAAGCCACGGCUAACUCCGUGCCAGCAGCCGCCGUAAGAC